rnacentral:rRNA from 1 species
GACGAACGCUGGCGGCGUGCCUAACACAUGCAAGUUGAGCGACGAACCAGGGCUUGCCCUGGGGCAAAGCAGCGAACGGGUGAGUAACACGUGGGUAACCUACCCCGAUAACCGGGACAACCCGAGGAAACUCGGGCUAAUACCGGAUGUGCUCACUGGACUUCGGUUCAGUGCGUAAAGGAAGCUUCGGCCUCCGUAUCGGGAGGGGCCCGCGGCCCAUUAGUUUGUUGGUGAGGUAGCGGCUCACCAAGACCGCGAUGGGUAGCUGGUCUGAGAGGACGAUCAGCCACACUGGGACUGAGACACGGCCCAGACUCCUACGGGAGGCAGCAGUGGGGAAUCUUGCGCAAUGCGCGAAAGCGUGACGCAGCAACGCCGCGUGGGGGAAGAAGGCCUUCGGGUUGUAAACCCCUUUCAGGAGGGACGAAGGUUCGGCGGUGAAUAGCCGUCCGGACUGACGGUACCUCCACAAGAAGCCCCGGCUAACUACGUG